rfam:Hypholoma sublateritium FD-334 SS-4 unplaced genomic scaffold scaffold_160, whole genome shotgun sequence.
GGUGCUAUAGUGUAGUGGUUAUCACUCGGGAUUUUGAAGCGUCUCGCCUUGUCUUCCCGAAACCCAGGUUCGAACCCUGGUAGGACCU